rnacentral:rRNA from 1 species
GUCGAACGCUGAAGCCCAGCUUGCUGGUGUGGAUGAGUGGCGAACGGGUGAGUAAUACGUGAGUAACCUGCCCUUGACUCUGGGAUAAGCCCGGGAAACUGGGUCUAAUACUGGAUGCUACAUGUCACCGCAUGGUGGUGUGUGGAAAGGGUUUACUGGUCUUGGAUGGGCUCACGGCCUAUCAGCUUGUUGGUGAGGUAAUGGCUCACCAAGGCGACGACGGGUAGCCGGCCUGAGAGGGUGACCGGCCACACUGGGACUGAGACACGGCCCAGACUCCUACGGGAGGCAGCAGUGGGGAAUAUUGCACAAUGGGCGAAAGCCUGAUGCAGCGACGCCGCGUGAGGGAUGACGGCCUUCGGGUUGUAAACCUCUUUCAGCAGGGAAGAAGCCACAAGUGACGGUACCUGCAGAAGAAGCGCCGGCUAACUACGUGCCAGCAGCCGCGGUAAUACGUAGGGCGCAAGCGUUGUCCGGAAUUAUUGGGCGUAAAGAGCUCGUAGGCGGUUUGUCGCGUCUGCUGUGAAAGCCCGGGGCUUAACCCCGGGUGUGCAGUGGGUACGGGCAGACUAGAGUGCAGUAGGGGAGACUGGAAUUCCUGGUGUAGCGGUGGAAUGCGCAGAUAUCAGGAGGAACACCGAUGGCGAAGGCAGGUCUCUGGGCUGUUACUGACGCUGAGGAGCGAAAGCAUGGGGAGCGAACAGGAUUAGAUACCCUGGUAGUCCAUGCCGUAAACGUUGGGCACUAGGUGUGGGGGACAUUCCACGUUUUCCGCGCCGUAGCUAACGCAUUAAGUGCCCCGCCUGGGGAGUACGGCCGCAAGGCUAAAAUCAAGA